GACGAACGCUGGCGGCGUGCCUAAUACAUGCAAGUCGAGCGCAGGAAACUGACGGAACUCUUCGGAGGGAAGGCAGUGGAAUGAGCGGCGGACGGGUGAGUAACACGUAAGGAACCUGCCUCAAGGAUUGGGAUAACUCCGAGAAAUCGGAGCUAAUACCGGAUAGUUCAACGGACCGCAUGGUCCGCUGAUGAAAGGCGCUCCGGCGUCACCUAGAGAUGGCCUUGCGGUGCAUUAGCUAGUUGGUGGGGUAACGGCCCACCAAGGCGACGAGGCAUGGCCGACCUGAGAGGGGGAUCGGCCACACUGGGCAGGAGACACGGCCCAGACUCCUACGGGAGGCAGCAGUAGGGAAUCUUCCACAAUGGACGAAAGUCUGAUGGAGCAACGCCGCGUGAGUGAUGAAGGUUUUCGGAUCGUAAAACUCUGUUGUAAGGGAAGAACACGUACGAGAGGAAAUGCUCGUACCUUGACGGUACCUUACGAGAAAGCCACGGCUAACUACGUGCCAGCCGCCGCCGUAA
rnacentral:rRNA from 1 species